rnacentral:tRNA from 1 species
GGUUUGUGGCUCAGCGGUAGAGCGCUUGCCUAGCACGGUUGAACCCGGGUUCGAUCCUCAGCACCA